GCUGGGCGUGGUGGCGCAUGCCUGUAAUCCCAGCUGCUUGGGAGGCUGAGGCAGGAUUACGAGUUCAAAGCCAGCCUCAG
rnacentral:sRNA from 1 species